UAGGGAAUCUUCCGCAAUGGACGAAAGUCUGACGGAGCAACGCCGCGUGAGCGAAGAAGGUCUUCGGAUCGUAAAGCUCUGUUGUCAGGGAAGAACAAGUACCGUUCGAACAGGGCGGUACCUUGACGGUACCUGACGAGGAAGCCACGGCUAACUACGUGCCAGUAGCCGCGGUAAUACGUAGGUGGCAAGCGUUGUCCGGAAUUAUUGGGCGUAAAGCGCGCGCAGGCGGUUCCUUAAGUCUGAUGUGAAAUCUCGCGGCUCAACCGCGAGCGGCCAUUGGAAACUGGGGAACUUGAGUGCAGGAGAGGGGAGCGGAAUUCCACGUGUAGCGGUGAAAUGCGUAGAGAUGUGGAGGAACACCAGUGGCGAAGGCGGCUCUCUGGUCUGUAACUGACGCUGAGGCGCGAAAGCGUGGGGAGCAAACAGG
rnacentral:rRNA from 1 species